rnacentral:rRNA from 1 species
GAUGAACGCUGGCGGCGUGCCUAAUACAUGCAAGUCGAGCGAACAGAUGAGGAGCUUGCUCCUCUGACGUUAGCGGCGGACGGGUGAGUAACACGUGGAUAACCUACCUAUAAGACUGGGAUAACUUCGGGAAACCGGAGCUAAUACCGGAUAAUAUAUUGAACCGCAUGGUUCAAUAGUGAAAGACGGUUUUGCUGUCACUUAUAGAUGGAUCCGCGCCGCAUUAGCUAGUUGGUAAGGUAACGGCUUACCAAGGCGCCGAUGCGUAGCCGACCUGAGAGGGUGAUCGGCCACACUGGAACUGAGAAACGGUCCAGACUCCUACGGGAGGCAGCAGUAGGGAAUCUUCCGCAAUGGGCGAAAGCCUGACGGAGCAACGCCGCGUGAGUGAUGAAGGUCUUCGGAUCGUAAAACUCUGUUAUUAGGGAAGAACAAAUGUGUAAGUAACUAUGCACGUCUUGACGGUACCUAAUCAGAAAGCCACGGCUAACUACGUG